CAGCACUUACGAAUGGUGUUCAAAGUGCUACGGGAGAACAAGUUAUAUGUGAAGAAAGAAAAGUGUUACUUCGCACAGGAGGAGAUCUUGUUCUUGGGCCAUCGCGUUGGCGGUGGUAUGAUUCGCAUGGAUGAGGAAAAGGUUCGUGCGAUCAAGGAGUGGCCAGCCCCGACCAAGGUAACUGAGUUGAGAUCUUUCCUUGGCCUCGUCAACUACUAUCGUCGCUUCAUUCUUGGCUACUCAAAGCGGGCGGCAGUGUUG
rnacentral:misc_RNA from 1 species